CAAACAAACCCUUAGAGCAAACCUGAGCUGUCUCUUUCAUCUCAGCACGCGUUCCAGCUCAUAAUAGUCGUUUCUAGCAAAGAUUUAAUGGCUUUUUUGACUCGUAUAACCUUUGCUCGUCCAUUUGAGAAAAGGCUUUAAUGUUUUGUCUCCUUCGACAGCUUUGCAGAUGGUAACAUGACCUUUUCUUCUUUUUCUUUGAAUUUUGCUAGACUUCUAUUGGAAGAUUCGGAUUUCAAGGGCUUCUAUGUGAAUUUGAGUUGAGAUUUGGAUUCCAAGGCUAUUUUCUAAUUGUCCCACAUCGGUUGAAGUCCAAAAAUUGGGACUUUUGUUCAACUAUAAAUAGAAGCCCUUUCCCUUCAUUUUAAAAAAAACAAGGUUCUGAGACCAAAAAAUUAGUUCUUACACCAAUAGUGUGUUUUUCACAGCCCCUAGAGUGAGAAAACUCAGGAACCCGGCUAAGCCAUUGAGUUUUGAUGAAGUUCUCAUUCGUAGUCUAAUUUUUGGAAGUCCUUUCCGCUUGUCGGAAAUCGAUUCCGGUGAAAGAGUGUUCGUCGUCAACCCUCGUCGCCCCCGUCGCUGCCCGACAAAAGGCUAUAUGAUACACUUGGAGACAAGAAACUGCUGCAUUUGAGAUGCAUUUUACAUGUUAAGAAACUGUGGGAUUGUUGCUACACUUAGGACACCGCCUAGUAUAAUAAGAAUCAUAUGCCACAUUGAUGUCCCUGGUACUGCACUCUGUUUGCUGCUGCUCCCUUUUGAGAUCUCACGCAAGAUAGCCAAGUAGGAGGUAUCAGUUUACCGCUUUACAAAUUUCUUCAGCCUCAUUUGAUGACGAUCUUAAAGAUGCUGAAACUUGUCUUUAGCAGUUCCAUAGGCUCUCAUUACAUUCACUACCUUCAAGUUAAGCACCUUUCUACUGUCCUACAACCCAAAAGAAUAAGGUCUAAUUUUCUAUAUCAGUGGGGAAAUCUCUGCCAAAUUUGUUUGCUAGAAUAGUUUUCAAUCUAUCUCCAUGAUGGAAAUCAAUUGUAAUUCCUAAACAGACACAAGAAAGGAAAGAUGUAUUACAUACACUAUCCCUCAUCUAGCUUUCAUUAAUCACACUGUUAGCUGUUGGAGAAAAUCAAAGGCACAGAGAAGAGCAAUAAACAAAAUAUAAGAGAGGUGAACAAAUAUUUUGCAGACAUCGAAGACAUACCUGAAGUUCGAUUCACACGCCCAAAUCAAUUUGGAGCAAACCACAUGCAUCUACUUUUUGGAGAAUAAUAAGUUCAAAUCUUUCUUCAGAUUGAGUUGCAACCCGUGAACAUCAAUUCCUAGAG